AGAGUUUGAUCAUGGCUCAGAUUGAACGCUGGCGGCAUGCCUAACACAUGCAAGUCGAACGGCAGCAUGAGGUGUAGCAAUACACCUUGAUGGCGAGUGGCGGACGGGUGAGGAACACAUCGGAAUCUGCCCAGUCGUGGGGGACAACGCAGGGAAACUUGCGCUAAUACCGCAUACGACCUUCGGGUGAAAGCAGGGGAUCUUCGGACCUUGCGCGACUGGAUGAGCCGAUGUCGGAUUAGCUUGUUGGCGGGGUAACGGCCCACCAAGGCGACGAUCCGUAGCUGGUCUGAGAGGAUGAUCAGCCACAUUGGGACUGAGACACGGCCCAAACUCCUACGGGAGGCAGCAGUGGGGAAUAUUGGACAAUGGGGGCAACCCUGAUCCAGCAAUGCCGCGUGUGUGAAGAAGGCCUUCGGGUUGUAAAGCACUUUUAUCGGGAACGGAACAUUGUCGGCCAAUACCCGGCAAGACUGACGGUACCCGAGGAAUAAGCACCGGCUAACUCCGUGCCAGCAGCCGCGGUAAUC
rnacentral:rRNA from 1 species